GACGGAAGGUGCAAGCGUUGCUCGGAAUCACUGGGCGUAAAGGGUGCGUAGGCGGCCGUGCAAGUCUGGCGUGAAAGCCCCGGGCUCAGCCCGGGAAGUGCGCUCGAAACUGCGCGGCUCGAGUGCCGGAGGGGAGAGUGGAAUUCCUGGUGUAGCGGUGAAAUGCGCAGAUAUCAGGAGGAACACCGGUGGCGAAGGCGGGUCUCUGGGCCGAUAUUGACGCUGAGGAGCGAAAGCGUGGGGAGCGAACAGG
rnacentral:rRNA from 1 species